rnacentral:rRNA from 1 species
UACGAAGGGGGCUAGCGUUGCUCGGAAUCACUGGGCGUAAAGGGUGCGUAGGCGGGUUUUUAAGUCAGGGGUGAAAUCCUGGAGCUCAACUCCAGAACUGCCUUUGAUACUGAAGAUCUUGAGUCCGGGAGAGGUGAGUGGAACUGCGAGUGUAGAGGUGAAAUUCGUAGAUAUUAGCUAGAACACCAGUGGCGAAGGCGGCCAACUGGUCCGAUACUGACGCUGAGGUGCGAAAGCGUGGGGAGCAAACAGG